GACGAACGCUGGCGGCGUGCCUAAUACAUGCAAGUCGAACGCACAGUUUAUACCGUAGCUUGCUACACCAUAAACUGUGAGUUGCGAACGGGUGAGUAACGCGUAGGUAACCUGCCUGGUAGCGGGGGAUAACUAUUGGAAACGAUAGCUAAUACCGCAUAAUAUUGAUUAUUGCAUGAUAAUUGAUUGAAAGAUGCUAUUGCAUCACUACCAGAUGGACCUGCGUUGUAUUAGCUAGUAGGUGAGGUAACGGCUCACCUAGGCGACGAUACAUAGCCGACCUGAGAGGGUGAUCGGCCACACUGGGACUGAGACACGGCCCAGACUCCUACGGGAGGCAGCAGUAGGGAAUCUUCGGCAAUGGACGAAAGUCUGACCGAGCAACGCCGCGUGAGUGAAGAAGGUUUUCGGAUCGUAAAGCUCUGUUGUAAGAGAAGAACGGGUGUGAGAGUGGAAAGUUCACACUGUGACGGUAUCUGACCAGAAAGGGACGGCUAACUACGUG
rnacentral:rRNA from 1 species